rnacentral:lncRNA from 1 species
AUGAGGCUCCUCACAAAGGGAACGAAGCUGGUUCAGAAUGCCUCCCGGAUCUGUCCACCUUCUGGCUACAGAGGAAGCCUAAAAUUCCUUCAAAAGCCCCCUUACUUCAGCCAUGGCUGGGGUUGGCCUGGAGUCUGGCCACCCUGGGAGCAAUUGUCCAUGGGGCAGCAGGAAACUGGACCAGGCCCAGAGGCCCAGCAGAAGCAGGUUCCUCCUGAAGUGAGCAGCCUUCUCUGUGACUGCGCCAUCUUGCAAGUCCCCACCUUGCUUAAAUCCGACAUCCUGCCCAUCGCUGAGUUUCAUUUCUGCAGUGAGAAAGCUGAAAGGCCCUCUGGGCGAUGGGAAGGGCCGUGUCAUUGCUCUCCUGGUUCAGGAGACCUCACUGUCAUCCUUUCAUGGGGAAUCAGCCAGGCAGCUUCUGUGGUUGCGACCACACCUUUACCUUUUCCAGAUGGUUGUGUCUCCCUAAAUCUGUGCUGGUGCCCUACCUUGGAAAGGGGCCUGUGGCCUUCAAAGAGGUGAUAAAGGCUUAGAGGGAUCACAAGGGAACCUUAAUCCAAUCUGCGUGGAGCCCUUGAAAGAAGAAGAGUUAGGACACAGAUGCACUGAGAGAUGACCGCAUGAGGACCCAGUGACACGGCCACUUGCAAGCCAAGAAGAGAGACCACAGACCAAAGCCUCAUGAUCUGGACCUGGUCCCUUGACCUCCAGAGCUGAAAGGAAGUGAAUGUGUGCUGCUAAGCCCCCAUCUGGGGUAGUGGCCCCCAUCUGGGGUAGCCCAGCAGGCUAGUGGAUCCCGGCCAGCUCUGUGGGACCCAUGGUCUCUGGGAGCUUAGCUAUGAGAGGGGCUCAUCUGUCCCAGGCAGGAGGAAGAGAGGGAGGGUUCCCAGCAAAGCAAGAACCAUCUGCUCCUAGGACAAAGUUCUGGAUGGUGCCAGGGGACUGGCCCAAGGAGCUUUGGACAACAACAGUCAGAACGGGCCCCUGGGGAACCUGGGGCUUGCUUAGAAGAAGAUGCAUAGCCCACACAUUUACGCAGAAGCAUGACAUAUUUGUGGGGUAGUGCAUGAUGAAGGAAUACUGCAGCACCAUUGCCACACUGAGUUCCUUCUGUGCACAGCACCACAUGGAUGUGUCCAAACCUGCCUGGGGGGCCUGCAGUUUCCAUUUCCUUGGUUUAUGUGGUUAUGUUCCAAGCAGCUGCUUUGGCUCACAUGCUCCCGCGGAAACCAGUCUGGGAGAUGGGAGACAAUGUAUGACCCGCUCAUGCACUCAGCAGCUGCAGCAAACCCCUCACAGCCUCAGAUCUAUGGGCCCAUGGGUAGCACAGGCCAGGCUGGUCACAGCAGCUUCACUGAUGUUGGCUCAAAGCUGGGAAUCUGGGGAAGCUGAGGAAGGUGCCCUACAGAUCUUGGAACUGCUCCCAACUUUAAGCACUCAGCACUCACAUUCUCAUGGUUUGCAAGGUAAAGAGUGUGUUGAUCAAUAAGGCGUAACAACACACAUUCACAUUAACAAGACACUUUUUUUUUUCUGGUGCAGUGAGUCUAAUUCAGGACCUUGCACUUGCUAGGUAGGCAAGGUGCCACUGAGCUAUAUCCCCAGCCCUAAUAAGAUACACAUUUAAGUUCAAUUCAUUUAUACUCCUUUGUGCAGUUCCCAAGCUACUUAGUUCUGUAAUAUUUUUUCCAAAAAUCAUACUUUUACAGUAUGAUCAUGUGUGUGUGUGUGUGCAUGCGCUUGUGUGAGUGUGCGUGUGUGUGUGUGUGUGUGUGUAUGUAUCUAUGAAAAAUAAAGCCAGUAGUUUCAGGGAAUUAUGGUCUAUAUCUAGAUGGCCCCCAAAGCCUCAUAUACUCAUAGGUGGCGCUUUUGGAAGGUGACUGGGUUAUGGGGACUUAUCCCUGACUUGCUCUUUUUGUUUUCUGUGUGUGUGGUACUGGGGAUCAAACCUGGGUCUGUGGGAUUGCGAGGCAGGUGGGGGAACCACUGAGCUACAUCCAGGGCCCAUCACUGACUUGUUCUUAGGAGGCAGGGCCUGGUCAGAAAAGAGUCACUUGGGCGUGGCCUGGAAGGGUUCAUUCCUCCCUACCCCCUCCUUCCUGUGGGCCAUGCCUUGAGCAGCUCCCCUCUGCCACACCCCUCUCCAUGCCUCCUGCCUUGGAGCCAGCCCACUAUGGACUGAAACUUCUACAGACUGUGAGCCAAAUAAACCCCCUUUAAUGUCCAGGUGUUGGGUACCAUGUUUCAGUAACAAGAAAGUGACUGAGACAAGAUUUCAGAGAUUAUCUCUGGGUUGUUAGACUUAUGGGAUUUUUUUCAGCCACUUUAUACUUUAUUAAAUUUAGAUUUAUUUCUCAACAAAUAAUAAUUUUUCAAUUUAAAAACAGUUAAACAUGGGCCAGGGAUUUGUUUAUGGGAUUUUUUUCAGCCACUUUAUACUUUAUUAAAUUUAGAUUUAUUUCUCAACAAAUAAUUUUUCAAUUUAAAAACACUUAAACAUGGGCCAGGGAUUUAGCUCAGAGGUUCGGUGGCCUGCCUUGCAAGCGCAAGGACCUGAGUUCAAUCCCAAAAACAACAACAACAACAAAACAGUUAAACAUUAAAUUGUAGAGAGAAAGCUCAGAGACAGGAUGCUGUGUGGCUUACUGGGAUCUCGGAUGCCCGUGGGUCCCCUACUUUUGUGUUUCUGGCUUCUCCCAGGCCCACUGUGAGACUGAAGUCACCCAGCAUCAGCCAGCGCCACUGUCAGGGCUGCUGUGGCCCCUACAGUUCUCUGUGAAUCACCCUGAAAUUCAGGACCGGCACUCAAGAAGCCCUGACACCCCUCAGUGCUAGCCCUCUCUGGCAUCUGAGAGGACAACCCGAGAAAGGGUCAAGGCAGAGCCCAAGUCUGCCUGCGUCCCUCAUGUGGGGAGCAGCCUUGAAGUUCCCUUUUGCCCUGCAGACCCUGUGCCGUAUUCCCAGCACUCGGGAGGCUGAAGCAGGAUGAUUGCUGCAUAGUGAGUUCAAUGCCAUCCUGGACUACAUAGUGAGACUCUGUUUCAAAAAACCAAAAGAGGAGAGGAGUCAGGGGAGAGCUCUGGCUGGCUGCUUGUGCUGCUGCAGCAUUUACUAUGACAUAAUUCAUGGGUUACAUUCCUAAUCUUACCCCCAAAGUUUGCCAGAAAGAACCUCAUUGCUAUUACUAUUUUCCCAUUGUUCUAGUAUAUCAGUAUUCUUCAGAAACAAGAGAUGUCAUUGUAUUUGCAGCAUUCUGUCGUUAGGAGUGGUACUGUAUUUCCAUUUACAGAACACAGUGAUUCUCCAUCACUGAAAAUCAAAUGCAUGCUUGACAGUGAGCUGCACUUCUUGUUCCCAAGCGGAAAGUGGCCAAACCCCUGCAGAUCUAACAGAGCCCUUUCUCUAAGUGCCUGUGGCUUGAGAGAGGGGCCACAGCUUGCAACCUAUUUAUCUGCAGGGGCCCUGGUUCCCAAAGAAAGGGUAAGAAUGUUCUGCUGCUAAAAUCCCAAGCAAGCUUCUUCCAGAACAGUCUGGUUAGCUAGUGUCCAAAGUCUGGUUAACUAGGCCCUAUUUGUCCUUUGCAAAAAUAAACAAGGGCGUGGACGCUAGGUCAGACUCAAGCUGAGCAUGGGGAUCCCUGCUGGUACGUGGCAGCAGGCAGGCGGGGGAGGGGGGAGCUGGAGAGAUGUACCAGGGGCAGCUGCCGGGGGCCCCACAGUGGCUCCCAGCCCUGCCCACGGGCCCACACCCAGCCUCAGCUGCCCAGCGGGCCGCGGGGAGCUGUGGGUCAGAAGCUCCUCAGUGAGAAGGAAGCCAAGUUUUCACCUGAGAACUUCCGCCCCCACUGUCCCUCCUCAGCCAGUUUCUAUGUCUUACUUUGAGACAGAGUCUCACUAAGUCAUCAAGUUGCCCAGAGCACUGCGGUUACAGGCGUGCACCCCACACCCAGCUAGGAGCAGGGAGUCUGAAAGGCAGAGUGGCCCUGGCUGUUGUGGGGUGCUCUGGUGUCCCAGAAGCCCUAACUGCCCCAGCUAUGCUCCUGCUCCUCUCUGGGGAGACCUCAGAAUCGCACCGCUCACCUGCUGGACCAGGACCCCCCACCCCCACCCCAGGCGCGGCUGGCGCAGAGGAGAUAACCUGCCUCGCGGGGUGAGGCCGGCAGGGGGCGCUGCCACCGGCGCCUGACUGGACUGGAGGCUCUGGCUGGGAGCGCUGCAGAGGCCUUGGAUCUGGACCGUGAGGAGCUGGGUCUGGUGUGCAGGGGAGCAUCGAGAACCAUG